rnacentral:rRNA from 1 species
AAACUUUGCAAUAAGCGAAAGCUUGACAGGGCUAUCCCGAGUGCCAUCCGCUGAGGAAGGCUUUUACCCAGUCUAGAAAGCUGGGGGAAUAAGGAGAGGGCAAGUCUGGUGUCAGCCGCCGCGGUAAUACCAGCUCUCCGAGUGGUGUGGACGUUUAUUGGGCCUAAAGCAUCCGUAGCUGGCUGAGUUAGUCCCCUGUUAAAUCCACCGAAUUAAUCGUUGGAUUGCGGGGGAUACUGCUCGGCUAGGGGACGGGAGAGGCAGACGGUAUUUCCGGGGUAGGGGUGAAAUCCUAUAAUCCCGGGAAGACCACCAGUGGCGAAGGCUGUCUGCUAGAACGCGCCCGACGGUGAGGGAUGAAAGCUGGGGGAGCGAACCGGAUUAGAUACCCGGGUAGUCCCAGCUGUAAACGAUGCAGGCUAGGUGUUUGGGCGGCCACGUGCCGCUCUAGUGCCGCAGGGAAGCUGUUAAGCCUGCCGCCUGGGGAGUACGAUCGCAAGAUUGAAACUUAAAGGAAUUGGCGGGGGAGCACCACAAGGGGUGAAGCUUGCGGUUUAAUUGGAGUCAACGCCGGAAAUCUCACCGGGAGCGACAGCAGUGUGAAGGCCAGAUUAAAGGUCUUGCCAGACGAGCUGAGAGGAGGUGCAUGGCCGUCGCCAGUUCGUGCCGUGAGGUGUCCUGUUAAGUCAGGCAACGAUCGAGACCCGCGUCCUCUGUUGCUACUGGUUUUGUGCCAGGCACACUGAGGAGACCGCCGCUGAUAAAGCGGAGGAAGGAGCGGGCCACGGCAGGUCAGUAUGCCCCGAAUCUCCCGGGCCACACGCGAGCUGCAAUGGCAGGUACAAUGGGUUCCGACCUCGAAAGGGGGAGGCAAUCCCGAAAGCCUGCCGUAGUUGGGAUCGAGGGUUGAAACCCAUCCUCGUGAACAUGGAAUCCCUAGUAAUCGCGUGUCACUAGCGCGCGGUGAAUACGUCCCUGCUCCUUGCACACACCGCCCGUCGUUCCACCCGAGCGACUCUUGGGUGAGGCGUGGUCCUUGUGGCUGCGUCGAAUCUAAGUUUCGUGAGGGGGGAA